AUGAAGCCCCUGCUCCUGGCCGUCAGCCUCGGCCUCAUUGCUGCCCUGCAGGCCCACCACCUCCUGGCCUCAGACGAGGAGAUUCAGGAUGUCAGGGACGUGGUAUCUGAAGGCCAUGACGGUGGACAGGGAGUUCCCUGAGAUGAAUCUGGAAUCGGUGACACCCAUGACCCUCACGACCCUGGAAGGGGGCAACCUGGAAGCCAAGGUCACCAUGCUGUGA
rnacentral:lncRNA from 1 species